CUCUGUGCCCUUACUGAAAGCCAUCCAACAGAGAGACGACUUUCCAAGCCAGAAACAACUCUACAGACACGUGAACAAAACCUCAAUUUUGUAUACGAGGCACAGCCUAAGACCACCCAAGUUCCCUUGAUCCACGCAGCCCACCUCUGGACAGGAGAGACCCCUUCCAGCAUGCUGAAACUUCAGUCAACACAUCAACCUGGAUGCAAAUCUCCACCCAGCUCGGCAUUGCUGCUUUUACCCACGGAGGGCUCACAGCCCAGCAUGCAAAUAGUGGGUGCUCAAGCAUAAGAACCCCCCGAGGUAAAUGGGGAUCUCCAAGGAGUCUUCUUCAGCUUGGCAGAGUGAGGAGGCUGAACCCAACACCCCAAGUGGGAGGACAGAAGGGAGAAAGGUUGCACAAGGAAAGAAGAGAAAACACACCAGAGCCUCUGAUGGAAAUGAGAACCCUGAAGGUUCUUACACAAGAAGCGGAGACGCUCCGACCCUGACUCCAGUGACUGACUGGGGUGGUGGCAGUUCCCACCACAGAGAAGGGGUAUGCCCAAAAGGAAAGAAGCCUGACGUGGGGCCGGGGACGAGGAGCUGUGGACUCGGUACAGUUCCCGGCACAGAAGUGGGGCUCCACAUGACGGAGACAGCAGUGGCCGGGCCUGUUUGGGGGCCAGGGUAGCUUCCCUGGAAAUGAGACCACAAAAGUGGUUAGGAAGCAAGGGUGCAGGGAGGAAGCCACUGUCCACAAAAGAAACAGCAGUGGCCAGUAAAAUGUGUCCCCCACCGUGUGCAAUCAGGGAAGCAUCAAGAAUGGUCAAAGAACAGGGUGGCCAGAGGUCACAGGGAGACCUCAGGCACGUCUGAGGAACUGGACUUUUUUUUUUGGAAAGGCCUCACUGUGCAACUCUGGCUGGCCUGGAACUCACUGUGUAGACCAGCAGGCUGGCCUCUAACUCUUCUGCCUUCCAAGUGACAGGAUUAAAGGUAUGUGUCACCAUGCCACACCCAACAAGGUGACAAAAUUUCAAACAUGCCUUGCCUUUUACUGUGAUUACAGAAUCCCGUGAGUGUUCUUUGUAGACAUUUUAAAGAAGAAUAAACAAAAAUGGCUGUGUCCAUGUCACGUG